rnacentral:rRNA from 1 species
GACGAACGCUGGCGGCGUGCUUAACACAUGCAAGUCGAACGGAAAGGCCCUGCUUUUGUGGGGUGCUCGAGUGGCGAACGGGUGAGUAGCACGUGAGUAACCUGCCCUUGACUUUGGGAUAACUUCAGGAAACUGGGGCUAAUACCGGAUAGGAGCUCCUGCUGCAUGGUGGGGGUUGGAAAGGUUCGGCGGUUGGGGAUGGACUCGCGGCUUAUCAGCUUGUUGGUGGGGUAGUGGCUUACCAAGGCUUUGACGGGUAGCCGGCCUGAGAGGGUGACCGGCCACAUUGGGACUGAGAUACGGCCCAGACUCCUACGGGAGGCAGCAGUGGGGAAUAUUGCACAAUGGGCGGAAGCCUGAUGCAGCAACGCCGCGUGCGGGAUGACGGCCUUCGGGUUGUAAACCGCGUUCGCCUGUGACGAAGCGUGAGUGACGGUAAUGGGUAAAGAAGCACCGGCUAACUACGUG